rnacentral:rRNA from 1 species
CUGCGAAUGGCUCAUUAUAUCAGUUAUAGUUUAUUUGAUGAAGAAUACUAAUUGGAUAACCGUAGUAAUUCUAGAGCUAAUACAUGUAUAAAGUCUUGUAGACUGCAUUUAUUAGAAUGAAAACCAUAGGUUUCGGCCUAUUCGUGAGUAAUAAUAACUAAUCAUAUCGUAUGCUUAUGUAACGAUGUGUCUUUCAAGUUUCUGCCCUAUCAUCUUUCGAUGGUGGUGUAUUGGACUACCAUG